rnacentral:rRNA from 1 species
GGUUUCCGUAGGUGAACCUGCGGAAGGAUCAUUAUAGAAAAAAUCUGAUUGGCAAGUCAAUGGGGCAGUAGAGUUUUUCGGCUCUUUCUUUUGCUUUUGGGCCUGCGCUUAGUUGCGCGGUCUAGAGUAGAGGGAGCUUCUACUGCUUCGGCUUACAAUUUACACACAGUGGAGUUUCUACUAUUUUUCUUCUUUGGGAGGAUGAUGAAAAUCUAUCUACUCCCAGAGGUAAACACAAACAAUAUUUUUAUUUUUUAUUUUACCCACAGUCAAAUGAAUACAAAAAAAAAAUUAUAAUAUUCAAAACUUUCAACAACGGAUCUCUUGGUUCUCGCAUCGAUGAAGAACGCAGCGAAAUGCGAUACGUAAUGUGAAUUGCAGAAUUCCGUGAAUCAUCGAAUCUUUGAACGCACAUUGCGCCCCUUGGUAUUCCAGGGGGCAUGCCUGUUUGAGCGUCAUUUCCUUCUCAAACACUUGUGUUUGGUAGUGAGUGAUACUCUGUUAAAACUGGGUUAGCUUGAAAUUGCAAGCCUUUUGGGGAUGCGUCUAGAGAAGAGUUUUAGGCGGAAACGUCUGGCUCCUCCUCUAUUUUCCUUUAACCAAAUGUCGUAUUAGGUUUUACCGACUCGGCAGACAGGUUACUGGAGACUGAGGUGGGUGAUAGAAAUAUCGAACUUUUCUGCGCGCCUUUGGCAAACAAUACUCUCUAAGCUUGACCUCAAAUCAGGUAGGAUUAC